rnacentral:lncRNA from 1 species
AUAAAAAACUAAAAUCCUUUGUUUAUCUGCUAGGGUUCCAUGCCCUGUCUCAGCCGCCGCCGUUCUUGGCCAAUCAGCCUCCGUUCGCGACAGAGACGGCCUCAGUUCAGCGAUUCCGGCGAGAGAGAGGUAAGUUCGUCCCUUUUCUUUAUAUUUUAAACAAAAAUAAAUAAAAAUAAAAAGAAACUCUAUAGAAAAAAUAAGAUAUAUGUAUAUAUGAAACAAAAUAAAAGAAUGAUAAUCUCAAUGAGGUAAAAACCAGAGAGAAAGAAAACCUUUGUCUUUCAAAAAGAAAAAUCUAUUUGCCUUUGAAUUUCUUUCGGUCUCCCCCCCAUUUUACAGAUUUUUGAUGGCUUUUUAUAGCCAAAAUUACAGCAAAAUAAAAGUAAAAAUCCUAUUUCAUUAUUUGCUGCGUCUAUUGCUGUUUGGAUCCGCUUUUCUCGUAGGUAUGGAGGCUGUGGAAGAGGUGUACGUACGCGGAGGAUGCGGCGGCAGUUAGGGAGGCUGCUGUUGGGCAUGCGGCUGAAGCUUGCUGCUUCUUAGGCUAGGUUUUUUUGAAUAUGGUUUUGGUCUGUAGAUGGGCCUGCUGUAUUUUAUUUUGUAUAGGCCCGGGAAGAAAAAAUUGGUAUUACAAUAAUUAUAAUAAAUAAAGACUAAAACUUGAAAGUAUUUAAA